rnacentral:tRNA from 1 species
GGGUCGUUAGCUCAGUUGGUAGAGCAGUUGACUUUUAAUCAAUUGGUCGCAGGUUCGAAGUCCUGCACGACCCACCA